rnacentral:rRNA from 1 species
CCCCUCACUCUGGGAUAAGCCUGGGAAACUGGGUCUAAUACUGGAUACGACCGAUCUCCGCAUGGAGUGUUGGUGGAAAGUUUUUGUGGUGGGGGAUGGACUCGCGGCCUAUCAGCUUGUUGGUGGGGUAAUGGCCUACCAAGGCGACGACGGGUAGCCGGCCUGAGAGGGCGACCGGCCACACUGGGACUGAGACACGGCCCAGACUCCUACGGGAGGCAGCAGUGGGGAAUAUUGCACAAUGGGCGAAAGCCUGAUGCAGCGACGCCGCGUGAGGGAUGACGGCCUUCGGGUUGUAAACCUCUUUCACCAGGGACGAAGCUAACGUGACGGUACCUGGAGAAGAAGCACCGGCUAACUACGUGCCAGCAGCCGCGGUAAUACGUAGGGUGCGAGCGUUGUCCGGAAUUAUUGGGCGUAAAGAGCUUGUAGGCGGUUUGUCGCGUCUGCUGUGAAAGACCGGGGCUUAACUCCGGUUCUGCAGUGGGUACGGGCAGACUAGAGUGUGGUAGGGGAGACUGGAAUUCCUGGUGUAGCGGUGAAAUGCGCAGAUAUCAGGAGGAACACCGAUGGCGAAGGCAGGUCUCUGGGCCAUUACUGACGCUGAGAAGCGAAAGCAUGGGGAGCGAACAGGAUUAGAUACCCUGGUAGUCCAUGCCGUAAACGUUGGGCGCUAGGUGUGGGACUCAUUCCACGAGUUCCGUGCCGCAGCUAACGCAUUAAGCGCCCCGCCUGGGGAGUACGGCCGCAAGGCUAAAACUCAAAGGAAUUGACGGGGGCCCGCACAAGCGGCGGAGCAUGCGGAUUAAUUCGAUGCAACGCGAAGAACCUUACCAAGGCUUGACAUACACCGGAAUCAUGCAGAGAUGUGUGCGUCUUCGGACUGGUGUACAGGUGGUGCAUGGUUGUCGUCAGCUCGUGUCGUGAGAUGUUGGGUUAAGUCCCGCAACGAGCGCAACCCUCGUUCCAUGUUGCCAGCACUUCGGGUGGGGACUCAUGGGAGACUGCCGGGGUCAACUCGGAGGAAGGUGGGGAUGACGUCAAAUCAUCAUGCCCCUUAUGUCUUGGGCUUCACGCAUGCUACAAUGGCCGGUACAGAGGGUUGCGAAACCGUGAGGUGGAGCUAAUCCCAAAAAACCGGUCUCAGUUCGGAUUGGGGUCUGCAACUCGACCCCAUGAAGUCGGAGUCGCUAGUAAUCGCAGAUCA